GUUUUAUGCUUGGAACUAACCUUGUGAGAUUUUGUUUGGCUAUUUACAAAUUAUGUUUAACACUAAAUACAUGUUACACUCGUCACCAAAUUCACGAAUACAUUAAAUUAAAAAAGAAAGAUCUUACAAUUGUCAAAUGGAUGUAAAAAGAUCCUCUACCUAGAUUUUUGAAGUGCUUUAACAUGACCUCAAUGAAUUCAGUUUUGUUUAGUUGCCAAAACUAUUUUGAGCGCAAACCAGGGAUAUUCCUGAGGCCCAUCUUGCCAAGGACGAGCUUGGGGAUAGCAGGAGGGUUAUCAAGUCCCAUACUUCGACUAAACUCGUUAGCGAGCUCCACAAGCCUAUACUUGUCCUUACCCACCAGCUUACUGGAAUUGUAAUAACCUAACCAGGCCUGGUAUGCUGUUUCUUUAUUCUUCAUCUCAACAUGGGACAUGGCCCUUUCUACCUUUGUCUCUGUGUCUGGGUCCACCAGAGGGACUGAACCUUUUGUUAUUGGCAAAUCCUUGAUAGUAGACAAGAAUGAUUCCUCCCAAGGUGCCAGUAACAAUAUGCCUUGCCCUUCUUUACCUUUACGACCAGUUCUACCAAGUCGAUGUAUGUACUGUUCUCUAUCAGCUGGCAAGCCCACCUGUAUGACAAGGGUAACAUCAGGAUAAUCAACUCCACGUGCAGAUACAUCAGAAGUCACAAGAAUAAGGCCCUUGGAUUUCCGGAAUUCAUCAGAAACCCUGGUCCUGUAGCUCUGUGGCUUUCUGGAAUGGAUCUCUCUAACAUUCAACUUCAGUUCACCAAGAAGGUCAGCAACCAUUCUUGUGACCAUUGCAGUUGUACAAAAUACAAGAACCUGCAGAAACCAAGCACCAAAUAACAUGUACUACAAGGUUGCAAUAAGGUUGGCAAACAAACAAAGCAUUUUCUUUUCUGUGACACUUCAUGAAAUUUUAAAACUAUAGAUUCUGUGGCCCAAAUAAAUACAACAAUCUCAACAAAAAUAGGCACCGUUUAUCGACAUACCUUAUAAUCAAUGUUAUCUGCAAUAUGAUCCUUCAAAAGAACAUAUAAUAUGGGAAAAUGCUUGUCUAAUGGAGCAACUAGAUGCAUCUGUCUGACCUGUGAAUGUGUCUCCUCAGUUCCUGCUUGAACUGUAUUUACGAAUUCAUGAUCUCUUCUCAAAGCAAUGUGACAGAUUUGACGAACCUCUUCGGGAAUUGUGGCUGAAAACAAAAGUGUUUGACGUUGCUUUGGAACAGCAGAGAUUAUUUUCUCAAUGUCUUUACGAAAUCCCAUGUCUAGCAAAUGAUCAGCUUCGUCAAGUACAAGGACUUUCACACCCAUCAGCCUUGUUGCAAAUCCAGCAGUAUUCUCAAUGUGGUCUCUGAGUCUCCCAGGUGUAGCAACAAGAAUCUGGCAAGGGUUUGCUUGCAUUUGUUUCUGUUCAAGGGCAAGCCUUGUGCCUCCCAUAACAACUUGAACACCAAUAGAAGAGUGAUACUUCAAUAAGGUCUUUGCUUCUGCAGCAGCUUGAUUUGCAAGUUCUCGAGUUGGGCAUAUAACAAGCACAAGAAUUGGGGGUCGUUUUUGAUCGCGACCAACAGGAGGAGAUUUUACAACAACCUCAAUUGCUGGAAGCAAAAAUGCCACAGUUUUUCCAGUGCCUGUCUUAGCCUUAGCAAGUACAUCCUUGCCUUUUAGUAUAUCUGGAAGAGUGGCCUCCUGAACUACAGUCAUUUUCUCAUAUCCUGCAUCCUUGAUUCCUUUUAAUGAUAAAGGAGAGAUCGAGCAUUGAUCAAAUCUAGACUCGCUCAGAUAAGAAUCAAAGUUUUCAGCUGAGGAGGGCCCAUUGUCCUCCUUUCCAAAUGAAAAUGAUGCAUUUUUCUUUAACAUCACAUUGUCAUGAACAUCUUCAUUUGUAUCAUCACUCCCCUCCUCAUCAACCAAAUCGUUGAGAUGCCCCAUUAACUCCUUACUCUCAUACUUUUUGUCAUCAAUAUAGUCCUCAUCUUCCAAAUUAUCAACAAAAUCACUUUUUUGUCUUAAUCCCUUCCCAUCUCUCCUAAACACUGAAUCCAUCUCUGUCACUACUCUCCUUCCAUUCAUUAAAUCUCUAUUCCCAACUUUCUUUCUCGGCGAGUUAAAUUUGUCUUCAUCACCAUCCACAAAUCCAAUAUUAGCUAUCCAUGAAUUCCUCGAAAAUGAAUCAGUAUGACCACGAGCUCUCCUACUGCUUGAUUCGCCAUUCUCAUCUGAUAUAACCUCUCUCCUUCUCUUCAUUGAAAAGCUCUCUCUAUCUCUUUCACUUCCUAUACUCCUACCUCUGUCCUCUCUAUCUCUUUCCCUUCCUCUACUCCUACCUCUGUCCUCUCUAUCUCUUUCCCUUCCUCUACUACUACCUCCGUUCCAAUUCCUAUCCCUAUCUGUGCCACUCUUACCUCUAUUACGAGCUAUACCAUAAUCUGACUCGUCUUCGCUAGCGAGUUGUUCACGACGGAAAGAACUGGUUCUCAAAUCAUUGACCCAGUCACUGAGUUCGGCUUCAUCUUCAAUCAAACUCUUUGGAGCUCUCACAUUUCCUCUUUCAUGACCACUAUGGCUGAAUUCUGAUCUGUAUCUAAAUGGCCGAGUGGAGAAUCGACGAAAUCCAAGCUGUGAAUAGGAAUGAGAGCCAAAACCGAGAUAUCUAAGUCUAUAAGGGAAUAUCCGAGACAAAACAGGGAUGGAAGAUUUCAUGGGUGGGUGCCCCGCGACUGGAAAAUAUGAAUUGACAAAGUGGAGUUGUGGAAAGAGCUUAACGAUCAUAGUAUGUCUAUAAUUCCUGAAAGCCGAAGAAUUCCCGUUUAGAGGAGACAGGGGAAUU
rnacentral:misc_RNA from 1 species